UACAGCAACCAAGGAACACGCACAAGAACAGGAUAAGACCGUGAAAUCUGAUGUCAUACUUUCACAGGAUAUAAAUUGCAAAUGAUAUUCUAAAGUAGAUUUGCCCCUGAAUCCAUUAUUGGCAUGAUGAGGACAUCCUCCCUUUCUGCUACCAUCAGACGGAUCACUACAGGCCCAACUGCUCUGCGCCAGGCUGUUUCCAAGCCAGGUAACUGAAAACAGCUCUUCCUUUCUCCUUUCCGAUCUGUUCCAUCACUGAGAUGACCCUCAUGUCACAUAUUUAAAGAAUAUAAAGGAAAGCAUAUUUGCACGUCAUGAAAGGUUAGAAGCAGAAAAUAAUAUCACCAUCUGAGAGUCGGAGUCAUUCCUUCGUUUAUUGUAAAAAUAGUUCUCCAGCAUGUGAUCACCCAAGCACCAUGUGCUUUGGAACAAGACAGUCCUCAGAGACCCCCAGUUUGUGGAGAGAAGCAAGUACCAGGCAUGUGAACUGAGCAGCAGUGAGCAGAACUGUACUGAGGAUACACACAGGGCACCAGAGAGCGAAAGGCAGCCCACCCACUGCACAUCUAGGGGAAGACGAGCCCCAGCACAGCUCCAGCAGCUCUGGGAUCGUGUUGGCUAGCCAUUGCUACAAAAGAGAUUACCCAAGAACUCAGCAUCCUGAAACAACCACCGUUGAUUAUGUCCCAGUUUAUGUGGCUCAGUCAGUGACCUCUGGCUCCAGGUUGUAGUAGUCUGGCUGGACCGAAGGGAUGGUGCCAGGAAGUCACUGCAGGAUGUUCCCACAAGCUCACUCCAUGGGUGAAGUUGCU
rnacentral:lncRNA from 1 species